CAACGUAGGGGGCAAGCGGUUGUCCGGAUUUAUUGGGCGUAAAGAGCAGUGUAAGGCGGCCAUACAGGUCCGGUUGUUGAAAACUGGAGGCUUAACCUCCAGACCGGUCGAUGGAAACCGUGGUGGCUAGAGUCCGGAAGAGGAGAGUGGAAAUUCCUGGUGUAGCGGUGGAAAUGCGCAGAUAUCAGGAAGAACACCCGUGGCGAAGGCGGCUCUCUGGGACGGUACUGACGCUGAGACGCGAAAGCGUGGGGAGCGAACAGG
rnacentral:rRNA from 1 species